GAUGAACGCUAGCGGCAGGCUUAAUACAUGCAAGUCGAGGGACAGCACAGGUAGCAAUACUGGGUGGUAACCGGCAAACGGGUGCGGAACACGUACACAACCUUCCUUUAAGUGGGGGAUAGCCCAGAGAAAUUUGGAUCAAUACCCCGUAAUAUAGUUUGAUGGCAUCAUCGGACUAUUAUAGCUACGGCGCUUAAUGAUGGGUGUGCGGCUGAUUAGAUAGUUGGCGGGGUAACGGCCCACCAAGUCUACGAUCAGUAGCUGAUGUGAGAGCAUGAUCAGCCACACGGGCACUGAGACACGGGCCCGACUCCUACGGGAGGCAGCAGUAAGGAAUAUUGGUCAAUGGACGCAAGUCUGAACCAGCCAUGCCGCGUGAAGGAUUAAGGUCCCCUGGAUUGUAAACUUCUUUUAUUUGGGACGAAAAAGGGUCUUUCUAGAUCAACUGACGGUACCAGAUGAAUAAGCACCGGCUAACUCCGUGCCAGCCGCCGCGGUAAAAC
rnacentral:rRNA from 1 species